AAAUUUGAAAUCUGGUAGCCUUCGGUUGCCCGAGUUGUAAUCUAGAGAAGUGUUUUCCGUGCCGGCCCAUGUACAAGUCCCUUGGAACAGGGCGUCAUAGAGGGUGAGAAUCCCGUCCUUGACAUGGACCCCCGGUGCUUUGUGAUACACUUUCAACGAGUCGAGUUGUUUGGGAAUGCAGCUCAAAAUGGGUGGUGAAUUCCAUCUAAAGCUAAAUAUUGGCGAGAGACCGAUAGCGAACAAGUACCGUGAGGGAAAGAUGAAAAGCACUUUGGAAAGAGAGUUAAACAGUACGUGAAAUUGUUGAAAGGGAAACGAUUGAAGUCAGUCAUGCUCUUAGGAUUCAGCCGUUCUGCGGUGUAUUUCCUUUGAGUGGGGUCAACAUCAGUUUUGAUCGAUGGAUAAAGGCACGAGGAAGGUAGCACUCUCGGGUGAACUUAUAGCCUCGCGUCAUAUACAUUGAUUGGGACUGAGGAACGCAGCAUGCCUUUAUGGCCGGGAUUCGUCCACGUACAUGCUUAGGAUGUUGACAUAAUGGCUUUAAACGACCCGUCU
rnacentral:rRNA from 1 species